AGGGUACUAGUAAAAGAUUAUACCGCCUUGUCGAGACGGAGUUUCGGGUUAAACCCCCGAGUGUCCUU
rnacentral:tRNA from 1 species